rnacentral:rRNA from 1 species
UACGUAGGGUGCGAGCGUUGAUCGGAAUUACUGGGCGUAAAGCGUGCGCAGGCGGUCUGUUAAGACCGAUGUGAAAUCCCCGGGCUUAACCUGGGAACUGCAUUGGUGACUGGCAGGCUUUGAGUGUGGCAGAGGGAGGUAGAAUUCCACGUGUAGCAGUGAAAUGCGUAGAGAUGUGGAGGAAUACCGAUGGCGAAGGCAGCCUCCUGGGCCAACACUGACGCUCAUGCACGAAAGCGUGGGGAGCAAACAGG